GGCUUCUUAGGCCUCUUUAGUAGCGUCAUCUAUAGUAGUAGGUAGACCUAGAGAAAAAAAAGAUACGAUAUAUUAUGAUAUAAUAUCUUUAGUAUCGUCGUUUAUAGUAGUAGGUAGGCCUUAAUGAGUUCUUGUAAAGAUCAACCAAUUCAUCCACCACUCUCUCAAUGUCAUUUUCUCCAUUUUCUCUCAUUUUUUCACCAAACUCCUUUGCUUUUUUCCUCACACUCUCUCCCCUUUUCUCAAACACCAUUUCUCUUACAACCUUAGCCACUCCUUCUUUGCUAAACUUUCCUUCUUCAUCUUUAGGAAUUUCCAAUCCUACCCUUACCUCAUUAACCAAUAGCCUCGCGUUAAGUGGUUGCUCAUGUUGCACGGGCAAGGCUAUAAUUGGAACACCACAACUAAGCGCCUCCAUUACUGAAUUCCAUCCACAGUGACUUACGAAUCCGGCAAUACUCGAAUGCUUCAAAAUUCGCCCUUGUGGGGCCCACUCUUCAACUAUUAACCCUCUAUUCCAAUUUCUCUCGUAAAACCCUUCAGGUAGAACUUCUCGAAUCUCCAUUUUAUAACUCCCCGGAAAUCUAAUCACCCAUAUGAAAUUCACCAUGCUAAGUUCUAACCCUAGUGCCAUUUCUUGAAUUUCCUCUUUGGUGAAGUAAAGUUCACUCCCAAAACUAAUAAAAAUUGUUGAACAUUUCUCUUUCUCAUUGAGCCAUUCAAUGAUCUUAUCAUUAUACUCCCCACCAUCUGUUUGAUCAAAUGCUCGAACGAGAGGUCCAACAGGAACAAACCUUUUGUUAAACAAAAACGUGAGGUAAUCAAUAAACUUACCUUCUAGCUCUUUGAAAGUCUUGAUCAAGAUGAUCCCUUUCGAUCUUUCAAAGCACCUCGUGAUACCAUGUUUCUCGUCAAUGCCAUCAUCCUCGAGAGAAUCGAAUACUCUCUUGUUUCUCCUAUGUUCAUGAUCCUUGAAGAAGAUUUCAGGAAAAGGGUAAUCAAUACUUGGAUUGUUAUCUCUAACAUGAUAGUGAUAACUGUUUGCUGCAGCACCAGAGGUGAGAAACAGGACAGCUGGGAAAUGCAAUGUAGAAGCCAUUAAAGGAAUACAUGGUAGGAGAAAAUCAUAGAUGAUCAGAUCAGGUUUUAGAGUUUCAAGAAUGGUGAAAAAGUCGGGUUUUCCCUUAAGGAAGAUCAGUUUCAGAGUGUUGAUGAGAUGGGGGUGAAGGCCAGCUGUGGUGUGUGAAGUACGAGGAAGAUGAGGCAAAUACGGGAGUACGAUAUCCAUUAGCUUAACGUGUCUAGUUUCUUCGGGAGAGAGUGUGUCUUUGAAGUAAGCGAGAUUAGCAUGUGUUGUGUAGAGGUAAGUUAUGAAAUUUCUCUUUGCAAGUGCCUUUGCUAGCUCUAGAAAUGCGCUGAUAUGACCUCGAGCUAACCAUGGAAACAUCACAAUUCUGAUGUUUUUCUUUCUUUCUUCCAUCAAGAUUGAGGGAUUUUGAAUCGUAGUUUAGAUUCAAGUUGAAAAAAAGGGACUUACCAAGUAAGCACGAAAAGGAAAUCCUAUUUGAGGAAUUCAAGCAGAACAAACAGGAGUUACCACAUUGGGAAGAAGACGAUACAAAAGGAGAGGGCUUAUUAUCUAGCUGAAAGAAGGAGGUAUACAUACAUAUAUAUAUAUAUACAUAUAAAACUACUUGUUGAAGCUCAACCAUCGAUACAAAAUGGAGAUCAUAACGUGGCAAGCACAAUGAGAAAAUAUGAUUGCGUGUAUGAAUUGGAUAUAACGAGUUACGAAAGAGACGUGGAAAAACAGGGUGGAAGAGGAGAUGACGACAAGAACUGUGAUGUGGAUAUUCGCGGUGAGAAACGACAUUCGGACGGAGACAUGGUUAAGACAGGUGAUGGAGGCGCUUAGGAUGGACAUGAACUGAUCAAAGGUUGUGUUUGCAUUAUACCAUGAUGCAAGAAAAAUGAACAACAACAUACCUAGUACCUAGUGUAACUCCAAAAACGAGGGCCGGAGAGGGUGGUGCGUACGCAGCCUUAACCCUACCUUUCGAAGGUAGAGAGGAUGCAAGAAACAUAUCGGAAAAACCUAUAUUUGUGAAAAGAUGGGUACUCUCUCUCUUUCCAUCCGUCUAAGUUUUAGAUGACAGAGUUACUCAAUACCUACGCUGGCGGGAGGUAGCAGAUACCCCACACGUCUUAUAGGAGUGUACGAUUGACUCGGUCAGGUGGCAAACAAGUGGUUGAAUAGUUAAGGUGCGUGCAAGUUGAUCCAGAGGACAUCAUUAUGAAAAACAGGUUCGAUCUUCAACAUUUCAUUAACACAGUCUUUCCCCUUUGCGAUUACACAUUUUCUUGUCAUAUUGAACUAGUAAACUUUAACGUUUUGAAAUGAAGCGUGUUUUGAAUAUAUUUACUUGAAAUCUUGUUACGUACACAGUUGAAGUCUAAAAUAUCUAGAGGACCAAGACUAUGAUCAGAAACACAUACUACAUUUUCGUAGUUCUUGAACAAAAGGUUGAAUUGCACACUAACGAUUCAAUAAGGAUAGUCUUUUUUUCUGUAGUAUGAGGAUCCAAUAAGGAUUCGAUUCCUCCUCUCUCGAGUGUGCCUGGACGUGCUGUUUAACUUGACACAAGAUAUCUGAACAGAAGACUUUUCGAUUAUACAAUGUGUAAACCUUCCAAGCACAAACCUCUGAACCAUUCAAGCAGAGUGAUAGUGAGAAUAAAUUCAGAUGAACUCGAAUCAUCAUUAUCGUUACGUUGAGGAUUAGCCAGCAGUAUUUCACCUGUUGGAAGGUUAGCAAAACUACACUACAUAUUAUUGGUAUAAAAAGCUUCUUAUAAAUCAUCUUAUUUUAUUUUCAAGAUUACAAAUGUGUAUUAUAUGAGUGAACUAAUUGGUUUCGUUGUCAUUUCUUUCAAUAAUGAUAUAUAAAAAACUCAAGUCAGAUUCGAAC